UACGAAGGGGGCUAGCGUUGCUCGGAAUUACUGGGCGUAAAGCGCACGUAGGCGGCUUUCUAAGUCAGGGGGUGAAAUCCUGGAGCUCAACUCCAGAACUGCCUUUGAUACUGGAGAGCUUGAGUCCGGAAGAGGUGAGUGGAACUCCCAGUGUAGCGGUGAAAUGCGUAGAUAUUGGGAGGAACACCAGUGGCGAAGGCGGCUCACUGGACCGGUACUGACGCUGAUGCGCGAAAGCGUGGGGAGCAAACGGG
rnacentral:rRNA from 1 species